rnacentral:rRNA from 1 species
UUGAACGCUGGCGGCAGGCCUAACACAUGCAAGUCGAGCGGAUGAAGGGAGCUUGCUCCUGGAUUCAGCGGCGGACGGGUGAGUAAUGCCUAGGAAUCUGCCUGGUAGUGGGGGAUAACGUCCGGAAACGGGCGCUAAUACCGCAUACGUCCUGAGGGAGAAAGUGGGGGAUCUUCGGACCUCACGCUAUCAGAUGAGCCUAGGUCGGAUUAGCUAGUUGGUGGGGUAAAGGCCUACCAAGGCGACGAUCCGUAACUGGUCUGAGAGGAUGAUCAGUCGCACUGGAACUGAGACACGGUCCAGACUCCUACGGGAGGCAGCAGUGGGGAAUAUUGGACAAUGGGCGAAAGCCUGAUCCAGCCAUGCCGCGUGUGUGAAGAAGGUCUUCGGAUUGUAAAGCACUUUAAGUUGGGAGGAAGGGCAGUAAGUUAAUACCUUGCUGUUUUGACGUUACCAACAGAAUAAGCACCGGCUAACUUCGUG